CUGUGCAGCUUGGGUAGAGAGAACGACAGGUCACAUCAUCAAAUGUUACAAUUCAUCCUCAGUCAGUCAUGUUGAUGUAUUGGGAGCCGAACGGAAGCCUGAAUAUAUCUGGUCUCAUCUACUUCUCACACCUGCCUGGUGGGGCCCUGGAAUAGCUCCCCUCACUUUGGGGGUUCAGGGACCUGCUCGGGGUCACUCCCACCGCAGAGAAGUGACAGAACCAGGGUCUGGAACCCCGGUCUCGGGACUCCAACUCUAGAGCUCGCUCCACAGAGCCGGGCGGCCCAGUGAGUGGUUUCCUGGCCUGACACCUUGUUUCUCGCGGGCCUUCCUCCCGCUCAUGUCCCCCGUUCCGGGGCCUCCCCAGAGCGUGGCUUAUUUCUUUAAGCUUCGAGAAGAGAAAGAAAAAGGGAGAUGAUGAAACAAAUUUAUUGCCAUGUUAGAAACACUGGAUGGAAGAAUUGAUCCCCACGGCUAAGUAAUUUCCCUCUUUCGUGCAAAAUAUAAAUAAAUCUGUAUGGCUUAUGCUGAGUGAUGAGCCUGGGCCGCCGGCUGGAUUUCACGACGUGAAAUGCCCUUCAGAGUCUCCAGCUUCCUCUCCUUGACCCCAUCAACGAGCUGUUCCAAAUAGCCCUUGUGUUCUCCCCGAAGGGGGGAUGUUGGCGGCUCCUGCGUCUUGCCCGCUACUGUUAGGCAGACUUGGGGACGUCUCGCAGAGUGUUUCCAUGGCUCAGCUCGACCCUAGCAGAUCCCGUCCCCGCUGGCUUCUCCUUGCGAGGAUGCCCGCGCUGGUGCCGGUUCCCUGCCUGGAACGGUCAUCCUUCCCUGCUGCCUUACAGAUCCCUCCGAAGUGCUGCGAUCCUAGGAAGCCUUUCUUGGUGAUUCCAGCGUGGGGAGAAUGCCCCUUCCUGGUGCUCUGGAUGCCAGGCGGGGCAGCUGACACUUUGGCCCUCCCUUGGGUGACCCAGAAUCCUUUUGUUCUGGGCUCUCAUCUCUGGGAGCAUCCCGCCCGGCCAGGCACUGUUCUUCUCCGGCCCCAGUGA
rnacentral:lncRNA from 1 species